UACGUAGGGUCCGAGCGUUGUCCGGAGUUACUGGGCGUAAAGCGCGCGCAGGCGGCUUCAUAAGUCUGGCGUGAAAUCCUGCGGCUCAACCGCAGGGCUGCCUUCUAAACUGUCAGGCUGGAGCACGGUAGAGGCAGAUGGAAUUCCCGGUGUAGCGGUGGAAUGCGUAGAGAUCGGGAAGAACACCGGUGGCGAAGGCGGCGAGCUGGUCCAUUACUGACGCUGAGGCGCGACAGCGUGGGGAGCAAACAGG
rnacentral:rRNA from 1 species